rnacentral:rRNA from 1 species
UACGUAGGGUGCGAGCGUUGUCCGGAAUUAUUGGGCGUAAAGGGCUCGUAGGUGGCCAACUAAGUCAGACGUGAAAUCCCUCAGCUUAACUGGGGAACUGCGUCUGAUACUGGAUGGCUUGAGUUUGGGAGAGGGAUGCGGAAUUCCAGGUGUAGCGGUGAAAUGCGCAGAUAUCGGGAGGAACACCAAUGGCGAAGGCAGCUCGCUGGGACGUGACUGACGCUGAGACGCGAAAGCGUGGGGAGCAAACAGG